AUUAUUAAAACUCUUUUGGAAAAAAUAAAAUAAAUUAUUUAGUAAAAUUAAAAAUGAUAUAUUUAAUAAAUUUAACAAGGGGGAUUCCCUUUGGUUAGAUAUGAACUACGAAUUUGAUAAUUAAUAAUAUAAUAUUUAUAAAAUAAAUAUUUAUAAAUAAUAUUCAAUCUCUAAAUUACAACAUUGAUCUAAAAAUAGUCAAAUUUUGAAUCUUAAAAACUUGAUAAAAGGAGUCCAAAUUAAGAGGUAACUGAUUGUAAUUAUCACUUAAGAAUAAUUGACCAACUUUCCUUAAUAUACAGCUCUCGUCAUUUCCUAUCAUAAAAUUGAGAAAGACUUGAAUGCUUCCAUUUCUUGUGCUCGCGAGGAUUUGGGCUCAGUGAACUGGAAAGUGUAAAGGGCGAUCUUGAAGAAGCCCAGGAUGGACUUCGUCACAGCCGGGAGGUGAAUUUGCGUGUUUUGGAGGAAGGUUACCAUAUUUGUUGGAUAUGAUGUAGGUGACCACACCUUUGAAGCUUAUUGCCAAGAUUUGGCUCGAGAAAGAAAUGUUGCUGGGUCUUCUACUCGUCCAAAUUUGGCCAAACCUUAAUUUUUCUUCGUGUGAGCCUGGGAAAUGCCCUAUAGGCAAUUUGUUAGUUUCCUUGUUAUUUUCACAUUGUCUCCUGGUUUGGUACUUUGUUGUUUUUGAACUGGAUGUUAGUCUUUGUUGGUCGUUGUUCUUGUGAUUCCUUUAGAUGUCCAGAUCGUGUCAUGUUUUCUUUUUUUUUUGCUAGUUGAUUACACACGCACACGUGGGGAGUCGAACUCCCGACCUCCCGCAAGGGGGUACAAGAGCUCUACCACCACACCAACACCUUGUUGGCUGUCAUGUUUUCUUGUUGAAAUUUGGUGAAGUUGUUUCGGUUUAAGUACCAGGCUUUCUUUGUCAUUAUGCUCUUCUUCUGUUAUUAUCUUUGUCGCUUUAAGCUUGCCUGUAAGAGCA
rnacentral:lncRNA from 1 species